rnacentral:SRP_RNA from 13 species
GCCAGGCACGGUGGCUCACGCCUGUAAUCCUAGCACUUUGGGAGGCUGAGGUGGGUGGAUCACCUGAGGUCAGGAGUUCAAGACCAGCCUGGCCAUCAUGGUGAAACCCCAUCUUUAUUCUAAAAAAAAAAAAAAGAGAGAGAGAGAAUGUUUUCUUUCUUUCUUUCUUUUUUUUAAGAAGGGGUUUCACCAUGGUGGCCAGGCUGGUCUUGAACUCCUGACCUUAGGUGAUCCACCCACCUCGG